AUUGAACGCUGGCGGCAGGCCUAACACAUGCAAGUCGAGCGGAUGAAGAGAGCUUGCUCUCUGAUUUAGCGGCGGACGGGUGAGUAAUGCCUAGGAAUCUGCCUGGUAGUGGGGGACAACGUUUCGAAAGGAACGCUAAUACCGCAUACGUCCUACGGGAGAAAGUGGGGGAUCUUCGGACCUCACGCUAUCAGAUGAGCCUAGGUACGAUUAGCUAGUUGGUGAGGUAAAGGCUCACCAAGGCGACGAUCGUUAACUGGUCUGAGAGGUUGAUCAGUCACACUGGAACUGAGACGCGGUCCAGACGCCUACGGGAGGCAGCAGUGGGGAAUAUUGGACAAUGGGCGAAAGCCUGAUCCAGCCAUGCCGCGUGUGUGAAGAAGGUCUUCGGAUUGUAAAGCACUUUAAGUUGGGAGGAAGGGCAGUAAGUUAAUACCUUGCUGUUUUGACGUUACCGACAGAAUAAGCACCGGCUAACUUCGUGCCAGCAGCCGCCGCAG
rnacentral:rRNA from 1 species